AAUUAUGGACAAUGGGGGAAACCCUGACCUAGCCAUCCAGCGUGAAUGAUGAAGGCCUUCGGGUAGUAAAGUACUUUUGCCAGAGAAGAAAAGGUACCCCCUAAUACGAGAUACUGCCGACGGUAUCUCCAGAAUAAGCACCGGCUAACUAGUUGCCAGCAGCCGCGGUAAUACGUAGGGUGCAAGCGUUAAUCGGAAUUACUGGGCGUAAAGCGUGUGUAGGCGGUUCGGAAAGAAAGAUGUGAAAUCCCAGGGCUCAACCUUGGAACUGCAUUUUUAACUGCCGAGCUAGAGUAUGUCAGAGGGGGGUAGAAUUCCACGUGUAGCAGUGAAAUGCGUAGAUAUGUGGAGGAAUACCGAUGGCGAAGGCAGCCCCCUGGGAUAAUACUGACGCUCAGACACGAAAGCGUGGGGAGCAAACA
rnacentral:rRNA from 1 species